rnacentral:rRNA from 1 species
UACCCCACUAUGCCCUACCGUAAACUUUAAUCUACAUCUUCAUCGCCUGGGAACUACGAGCAAAGCUUAAAACCCAAAGGACUUGACGGUACCCCACAUCCACCUAGAGGAGCCUGUCCUAUAAUCGAUAAUCCCCGUUUAACCUCACCAUUUUUAGCCUUUAACAGCCUGUAUACCUCCGUCGUCAGCUUACCACGUGAGCGGCUCUUAGUGAGCUCAAUGUCAAUACACCAAUACGUCAGGUCAAGGUGCAGCAAAUAAGAUGGAAAGAGAUGGGCUACACUCUCUAAUUUAGAGUAUACGAAAAACUAUUUAUGAAAUCUAGUUAGAAGGAGGAUUUAGUAGUAAAAGAGGACAAGAGAGCCCCUUUUAACAUGGCACUGGGGUGUGUACACACCGCCCGUCACCCUCUUCAAAUACAAUAAAAAAGUUCAUAACACACUUAGACCUUAGAGAAGAGAUAAGUCGUAACAUGGUAAGUAUACCGGAAGGUGUGCUUGGAAA